UGUUUGCCUGAGAAGCCAGAGAUACUAAUUCAAGCGUCGGCGCUUCCUAUGGCCUCUCAACGCGUUGAAGAGAAAUCGGCGCUAAACCGUACGUACAUUCCUACAUAUUAAAUAAAGCUAUUGACUUAAAGUUUAAUGAAAUAACAAACUGAGCAAAGCGUUGCAGACAAGUGACAACGGUUGCGACUCCUUCUGGAAAUGCUUUUCAGUAGUUGAAAGGGAUGAAGUGAAAGCGAAACUUUUUAAAUAAAUCAUUUCUCGGCUAUUACAGCGGAUAUCCUAGUACUGUCUACCACAGAUAAAAAAAAUAGCACUUUCAAGUGCCACCGCGGCGGAAAGGCGUUAGGACAGUACUAAGUAGAUGUUCAAACAAAAUUCCUGAAGUAGCUAUGGAUUAUCUGUGCUGAACCAUAAACUCGGUGAUGUCCUUCGACUUAUUCGUUUUUGUUUUUAACGACACCGAAACUGGCGUCUGAGCCUCGCAAGUACAUGCCCAUCAGUUUUUGCCGGCAGUAGAUAACGUGGCUGAAGCAGUUAUAUUUAAUCUUAUAAAUUUUAUAAAAGUUACAAUGUAAAUUUCGGAAAGGACAUUCAACCACUGUCUCUGUCUUUCCCGACGUUGAGAAGGCUACUUAACGUGUACGGCAUAAUGUCCUUACGCAAGUUGUGCAUACCUUGGUAAUCCAGUCGUCUUGCAGCGGAAGUCUAGCAAGGCUCCCUUCUGCCUCGUCCAGCCACAAUCCGCAUACGCGAGCCGGACAUUUAUUUGUCGUUAAAGUCAUUGUAAUGUUACUUAACUUCUAUAGCUUUAUCUCGACGAGUUGUCCGCUGGUGCCGUCAUUAAGACCUGUCUGUCAACGCAAAAAAAAAUCAUGACGCU